rnacentral:lncRNA from 1 species
UAUGUAAUUCUGUCUGUGCUCACUCGAAUAACUACUAAUUAUGUUCUAGCAUAAUAAAUAAAAAUUUCUGCUCAAGUUGACAAGUAUAUAUACAUGUAUGUAUACAUAUAUGUAUUUAUACGAGCCUUAAAAGAAGAAAACAAAUUUUAUUGUCUUCCUUCUAAUAUUACUGAUGAGUAACUGCCAAUAUCAUAUGUAACAAAAACUGGGCACAGCUAUCAUCUAGUAACAAAGCCUUGAAAUAUAUAAAACAAUAUUUUCAGAACUAAAAUGAGAAAUAGACAAAUCCAUAAUCAUAAGGGGAGAUUUUGGCACUCCUCUUUUAGUAAAGAAUAUAAAUAGAAUGAAUAGACCAAAAAAUAGUAAAAACAUAAGGGUUUGAAGAACAUGAUUAACAAACUUGAUCUAAUUGAUACACGCAUGUUGAAAACUGAUACCCAACAAGAGCAGACUAGAAUUUUUUUUCAAGUACAUGUUCUAUAGAAUUUUAUUUAAAAAUUUGACCAUAUGCUUGACCAUAAAGGAAGCCUUAACAAAGAUUAAGAAACUGAAAUAAUAUGGAAUAU